CUUAGGACGACUCCAGAACCACCGCGCGCGGCGUCGUUUACUCUCUCCGAUCGGGAAUGAUCGACGUCGUGACCGCCGACUCAAGACGACUCCAGAACCACCGCGCGCAGCGUCGGGUCCCGGCGAGGUCGCGGCGGAGAGAAGAGGAGCGUCGGGCGCUCCGUCCGCGGAAGUUGCUCGGACUUCCCCCUCGCUCGGUCAGGCCCGGAGCGGUGCUCACGAAUCGCAUUCUUAUCGCUUGCGUUCUUCUUCCGUUUUUCCGCCGCCGGCGUUCGACGUCAAUGCUCGAUUCGUUUGGAAUUUAAAUGAUGUCGCGCGCUUGACCCGCUCGUGGAGGUCUAGGGCUUUAUCGUUUGCAGGCGUGUGUGGUUGUGUGGUUGUGUGGUUUGGUGCUUGUUGGAUUUUGAAGGCUCUCCGGAAACGAUCCGGAAUGAGCCGGCAGAGUUGCUGGGGAAGGAGGGGAAUUUAAAUUUGGAUUUUUCCGCUCUUGGGGCGCUUGUUGUGAUUGGUGUGGUGCUUGCUUGCAAGCUACGGCAAAUACUGGUUGGUAGAGAUGAGACUCCUAGCUCAAACAUGGGGAUCUUCUGGUGGGCUGUCGUAUUUCGCUCUGUUGGUUUUGAUUUGGACGGUGAUGCAGCUGCUCAUAGUCAGAAGGCGUGUCCUGGAGGUAUAGGGCUUUAUUGUUUACAGGCGUCUGUAGUUGUAAUUCCGGCUUUAGUUUGGAGGUUGAGUGGUUGGGUCAUCAGUUGAAGGUUCUGUUACAUACUCUUUAGGAUUAGGUUAAUUGUGGUUAGGUCUCAUUGCAUUUGCACCCUAUAUACAGAGUUCGUGAUCUGUAAUUUAUACACCGCAUUACAUUUUCUCGGUGAUUUAACAUGCAUCUUAACUUGGUGGUAGAGCCCUUCUUGUCAUAUGAGGAAACACCGGACGAGUCUACUGACGUUUGAUUGGCGUUGACCAUGUCCCCUGACACAUCUUUGUUUCUGACUGGUUGUUCACAUUCUUUAUCCAUUAUGCUGUUUUUAACUGGAAAACUGCAUAUCAUGGAUGAACUUGUAACUCCCUUACCCAUUCAAAUCAUUUUUAAUGGAUGAAAUUAUAUCUUAUGGGCUCUCAAAAUGUCUAGUAUUUUGAGAGGACGUCUGACUUUGGCAUUAUGUAACUGAUGAUAUCCAUGAGUCUACUGAGCCUGCUGAUUGAAUUUGAGGAUAAAUUUGUUGAGCAGUUGGAUGGAUGGGAUAGCAAGAAUCAUUAGAUUCUAACAUGGUUUUGAAACACUUAGAUUCUAUCUAUUCGACUUCAGUUUGGUCUUUUCAAUACAGCAAAGGAAGUCUGGGAUCUGCUUGCUAGUCAUUAUUCCACUUCAGAUGUUGCCCAUCAAUAUUAACUGUUAAGGAAGCUAUAUGCAUAAGGAGGCAGGUCAUUCCAUCAAUGAUUUUCUAUCCUUGAUGCAUGUUAUCUGGGAUCAAUUAACCUUAUUUGAACCAUGAUGGGAUGCAGCAACCAAUGCUUGUUAAUUUGCUGAAUAUUGUGAUCAUAUGCAUUUUAUGCAUUUUUGAUAGCCUUGAAUGUGGAGUUUCAACCUGCACGAUGUUCACUUAUGCAUAGAGAUCCUUUUCCUCGUCUUGAGACAGUUGUCUUGGAAUUAUUGACUGAGGAGACUUGAUUGGCACUUUAAAGCGCAAUGCAAUACCAUAUACAUCUCUACACCUACUAAUACGGUGCUUGCUACUUCCACUUCUUCCUCAUUGCUCAACCAAUUUUAUAAGCAUUGUCGCCGACAUGGUCAUCUUGCAUCCAAUUGCUACCAACUAUGACCUAAGCAACUUAUAGGGCCGGACAAUCGAUCUCGAAACUGAGGGCCAUAUGCAAGAAUAUCUGCCACUGAUCCUACCAUAGAGGCUUCUUCAAAGGGACUGUUUGUCACUCUAUCCUCUUUGUGCCAUUCUUCGAGAAUCUGGUACUUCUAGCUCCUCCAUCCCUGGCAAUACUACUUUGUCUGUCAUUCAAGAUUCUCUACUCUUGGACAUUCCAUCAUCCUCUAAUUGUCAUUCCACCAGUGUGAAUCAACCCUAUGUUUUGACUUCAUAAUUACUAUUGCUUUCCCUUUGUAGACCUUGCACAUAUUGAGAAGCUAGUAUGAAUUCUUUGGCGGCAAGCAAUGGCAGAUGAGGGCUAAGCUUUACAAUAAAUCUCAUUAAUGGGAUUUGGUUGAUAUGCCUCAUGGUAAGGAAUGACUCAUGGUCAUAUGUACAUUUGAGUACCAUAUACACUUUUCCUCCUGGUUGCAUUUGUGCUGCCACUGUAUUUUAUUUUAGAAAGAAAAUAUACUAUUAACUAAUGGAAUUCUGAAAUAUUGUGGAAUGAUCACUUUAGAAGUGUGUUGUGCACGCGCGCCCUUGAACAUCGAGUACAACUUUGAAGCAUUAAAUGUGCAACUCCUAUGGUGAUGCUUAAGAGGUGUAAUGACAUUGACACCAAAGCUUCAAUCAUGAUGAUCAGUUAGUUUGAGAAAGGAGAGUAUUUGGGAAAGAGAAACAAGUCACACAACAGAAGCUUGUGGGCUGCCUCUUGUAGUGGAUUGUCUAUUUAGCAUUUUAUACGUCUCAUGAAUGCAAUGGGCAUAUCCUCGAUUAGGAAGGUUGCUACACCUGCUUGCAGUUUUCUUCAUCAUUUUUUUAUGUGGUUUCUAUUUUUCUGGUUUAAUGUUCUCUCAAGCUCGAUCGAGUUUUCUUUUUCCCUUAAAGGAAGAUGAGAUUGGUUUACUCCUGCAAUUAGUUUAAUCCGAUCUUUGGUUCUGAGAUGUGUAUGUUAACAACACAUAUUUGGCCCAAAAAGAAUAAAAAGUUUAUAAACAGUGAGGCCGGCAUCUCCAUGGUGUUUCAUAGUAAAUUUCUCUUUACAACAACUGGAAGAUAUGAAGGCACUUAGCUCUCUUUUCCCGCUUUAACCCUUGGUAAAUGGUCCUGAUACAGAGAAGUGUUUACACAUAGUCACUACUUUGCAGGCCAAGCAGGCUAUUGGCAAGGCACUCCUGGCUGAUUUUGCAGUCUGUGAUGACAUCUCACAUUGAAAAUACUGAUUCAGUAUAUGCUUAUGGUGGGGAGCAAAUUUUAUGUGUUGGAGAAUUCAUGUGAAGAGGUCAUAAUUGAGUUUAAGCAAUGUCCCUUUCUUUCCAAUAAUGUCAAGUAUCUUAUUUAUUGCAUAAAUUCAUGUUGCAGGCCUUCAACUCUUCUAUGAAAGAACUUAGAGAAUGCUAAAGCAAGUUUAGAAGUUCUUAUUGCUGAUCUACAAUUCUUAAGGGACCAGGUAACAAUCACACAGGUGAAUUAUUUUUUGGCAGGUUACAAUUGCUGGUGUGUAUGAUUGGGAUGUUCACCACUGGAGAGUUUAUCAAGCUGUUGCUGCUGCAAAAGAUGUGUAAAGGGUUCUUUUUAAUUCAAAUCAUGGUAUCAGAAUGUAUACUCCUGAUGAGAGUAUAACUCCGAUCUUCCCAUUUGCCGUUAGGUGCAUGGAUUACUUACUGGUCUGUGGUCUCAACUGUAACUUUGGAAACCAAGUGAUUUUGGAUAGGUUUAGAGUCAUUUGUUGCAGUACAAAAAGCUCAUGUCAUGCAAAGAAAUAUUGAUUUAGAACCUCUUGGGCUUGAGCUCUACUUUUUGAAUGCUGUACACUAAUGUUGAGUUAUCUUUUGUCGAUAUAAUUUGUCUCAUUUAA